rnacentral:rRNA from 1 species
AUAUUGCACAAUGGGGGAAACCCUGAUGCAGCGAUGCCGCGUGGAGGAAGAAGGUUUUCGGAUUGUAAACUCCUGUCUUAAAGGACGACAAUGACGGCACUUUAGGAGGAAGCUCCGGCUAACUACGUGCCAGCAGCCGCGGUAUUACGUAGGGAGCGAGCGUUGUCCGGAAUUACUGGGUGUAAAGGGAGCGUAGGCGGGAUCGCAAGUCAGAUGUGAAAUACAUGGGCUUAACCCAUGGGCUGCAUUUGAAACUGCGGUUCUUGAGUGAAGUAGAGGUAAGCGGAAUUCCUGGUGUAGCGGUGAAAUGCGUAGAUAUCAGGAGGAACACCGGUGGCGAAGGCGGCUUACUGGGCUUUUACUGACGCUGAGGCUCGAAAGCGUGGGGAGCAAAC